CGGGUUUUUGGUGUAUUUGCUCCUA
rnacentral:piRNA from 1 species